rnacentral:rRNA from 1 species
AUUGAACGCUGGCGGCAUGCCUAACACAUGCAAGUCGAACGGCAGCACAGCAGUAGCAAUACUGUGGGUGGCGAGUGGCGGACGGGUGAGUAAUGCAUCGGGAUCUACCCUGACGUGGGGGAUAACCUCGGGAAACCGGGACUAAUACCGCAUACGUCCUACGGGAGAAAGCGGGGGACCUUCGGGCCUCGCGCGGCAGGACGAACCGAUGUGCGAUUAGCUAGUUGGCGGGGUAAUGGCCCACCAAGGCGACGAUCGCUAGCUGGUCUGAGAGGAUGAUCAGCCACACUGGGACUGAGACACGGCCCAGACUCCUACGGGAGGCAGCAGUGGGGAAUAUUGGACAAUGGGCGCAAGCCUGAUCCAGCAAUGCCGCGUGUGUGAAGAAGGCCUUCGGGUUGUAAAGCACUUUUAUCAGGAGCGAAAUACCACGGGUUAAUACCCUAUGGGGCUGACGGUACCUGAGGAAUAAGCACCGGCUAACUUCGUGCCAGCAGCCGCGGUAAUACGAAGGGUGCAAGCGUUAAUCGGAAUUACUGGGCGUAAAGGGUGCGUAGGCGGUUACUUAAGUCUGUCGUGAAAUCCCCGGGCUCAACCUGGGAAUGGCGAUGGAUACUGGGUGGCUAGAGUGUGUCAGAGGAUGGUGGAAUUCCCGGUGUAGCGGUGAAAUGCGUAGAGAUCGGGAGGAACAUCAGUGGCGAAGGCGGCCAUCUGGGACAACACUGACGCUGAAGCACGAAAGCGUGGGGAGCAAACAGGAUUAGAUACCCUGGUAGUCCACGCCCUAAACGAUGCGAACUGGAUGUUGGUCUCAACUCGGAGAUCAGUGUCGAAGCUAACGCGUUAAGUUCGCCGCCUGGGGAGUACGGUCGCAAGACUGAAACUCAAAGGAAUUGACGGGGGCCCGCACAAGCGGCGGAGCAUGCGGAUUAAUUCGAUGCAACGCGAAGAACCUUACCAAGGCUUGACAUGAACCGGUAACGCCUGGAAACAGGUGCCCCGCUUGCGGUCGGUUUACAGGUGGUGCAUGGUUGUCGUCAGCUCGUGUCGUGAGAUGUUGGGUUAAGUCCCGCAACGAGCGCAACCCUCGUUCUAUGUUGCCAGCGGUUCGGCCGGGGACUCAUAGGAGACUGCCGGGGUCAACUCGGAGGAAGGUGGGGACGACGUCAAAUCAUCAUGCCCCUUAUGUCUUGGGCUUCACGCAUGCUACAAUGGCCGGUACAAAGGGUUGCGAUACUGUGAGGUGGAGCUAAUCCCAAAAAGCCGGUCUCAGUUCGGAUUGGGGUCUGCAACUCGACCCCAUGAAGUCGGAGUCGCUAGUAAUCGCAGAUCAGCAACGCUGCGGUGAAUACGUUCCCGGGCCUUGUACACACCGCCCGUCAAGUCACGAAAGUUGGUAACACCCGAAGCCGGUGGCCUAACCCUUGUGGGGGGAGCCGUCGAAGGUGGGACCGGCGAUUGGGACUAAGUC